GCUCUCCCCUGCAGGAACUCCAGGAACUCCUGGUGCCGCCUGGGCCGAUGGAUUGGACGCCCCAGCCCCUCCGUUCCUGCCCAGCCACUGGGUCCGUGUCCAGUGGUGGCACUGCCAGCCCUGCAGUGGGAUGUAGCCUGGAAAGUGCACAGAGCUGAGCCAAGGGAUUGAAAGGGACCAAGCAAGGGAGGUGAAGAAAGAAGGAAGAAGGAAGUGAGGCAGCAGGCAAGCAGCACCAAGUUGCUGUGUAAGCAGGAGAAAAUGGGGAAAGCAGGAAGGAAGAAAAGAAGCCCCAUGACUCCUCCCUGAGCCCCAGACAGCCCAUGAACUACCUUCCUGGGAAUGGUGGGACGGGGUGGACUCUGGAUUGCUCCCUCUGGAUGUGUGGUAAGACUUUUAUACCAGCUUUUAAGAACAGCCUGUAAGCAUUUGCUGCCUUGGCUAGAUGGUGCAAGGGCAGCCUUUAAGCAGCUGAAGCAUUCCCUGAGGAGAGCUCUGGGUCUGCCAGAUGUCUCAGAACUGUUGGAAGCAUCUUUGGUGGGGAG